GGGAUACCCGUUUAAGUGAGGAAAAGUUUUAAUUAUAAAUUUCCUUUUCUUAUUUCUUUUUCUCGAACCCGACUUAAUCCUUUAGCCGACACUUCUUCCUCUCUUCUUCCCCGACUCCCUUCCUCUUCUCUCUGUAUCUCGCGGAUGACGCGACGCCGAGGCUGGAUCGGGCAGCGACGCCACCAGGGGAAUUGAUCGCCGACGGCUGAGCACUUCCUUCCCCCACCGUCCACCAGAUCUGGGAGGGGAUUUGUUGGUUCAACGCCGCUGGUUCGAACCGUGACAUCGCCAAUCGCCGCGUGAAGGGGGCAAUUAGGGUUCCACGGGUCCAUCGCCGGUGCUCUGCCUUCGGAUCAUUGCUUCAUGUGAGUAGAUCUAGCCCUAGCCUAGACCUUUCCUCUUCAUCGCCGGCUUGGAUCUAUUGUCUUGGAUUCUAGCUUCCAUUUCGCACACGGUUGUGUUGUGGGGUUGGUGGACAACAGCUUGAACCGGGCAGAGUGGAGGUUCUGUUCCAUUUGGUUGGGUUCUGUGUAUUGCUUGGUUCCUGCAGCACCCCAACCAGCAACUCACUCAUCAGUGUUCUCUGUUCCAGCAUCGUCAGUGGCAUUGGAUCAAGAGUAGAGGUUUGACUUUGAGGACUUUGAUUCGAGACAGGCGUCUCGACGUUGGAUUUGGCGUGAUUGUAUCUGCUAUUUGA